AUGACUGGGGAGGUGAACAACUACUAUUUGCUUCCCGAAGAACCCGACCCCUUGCGCACCUUGCAUCAUAAGGAUAGCAUCGCCAAGGUGAUGUUUCUCGCAGCCGUGGCUAAACCAAGAUACGGCAAAGGUGGUGAGGUCACUUUUGAUGGAAAGCUCGGCAUUUGGGCUUUUGUCACAGAGUCUCCUGCUCAAAGAACCAGUGAAAACAGAGAUAAAGGGACGCUCGAGCUCAAAUCAUUGAAAGUCACACGAGAUGUAAUGAGGUAUUACAUGUGUGAGAAACUUAUUCCUGCGAUCCAAGAGCGCUCGCCGAACGAAGAUGAAGGACGGACAAUCUAUAUCCAACAAGAUAAUGCCACGCCACAUAUUCUUCCCGAUGACCCGGUUUUCUGA
rnacentral:rRNA from 1 species